UUCCGGUUGAUCCUGCCGGACCUGACUGCUAUCGGAUUGAUACUAAGCCAUGCGAGUCAUUGUAGCAAUACAAGGCAGACGGCUCAGUAACGCGUAGUCAAUCUACCCUAUGGACGGGAAUAACCUCGGGAAACUGAGAAUAAUGCCCGAUAGAACAUUGUGCCUGGAAUGGUUUAUGUUUCAAAUGAUUUAUCGCCAUAGGAUGGGACUGCGGCCUAUCAGUUUGUUGGUGAGGUAAUGGCCCACCAAGACUAUUACAGGUACGGGCUCUGAGAGGAGUAGCCCGGAGAUGGGUACUGAGACACGGACCCAGGCCCUAUGGGGCGCAGCAGGCGAGAAAACUUUGCAAUGUGCGAAAGCACGACAAGGUUAAUCCGAGUGGUUUCUGCUAAAGAAACCUUUUGUCAGUCCUAGAAACACUAACGAAUAAGGGGUGGGCAAGUUCUGGUGUCAGCCGCCGCGGUAAAACCAGCACCUCAAGUGGUCAGGAUGAUUAUUGGGCCUAAAGCAUCCGUAGCCCGUUUUGUAAGUUUUCGGUUAAAUCCAUGCGCUUAACGUAUGGGCUGCCGGGAAUACUGCAUAACUAGGAAGUGGGAGAGGUAGACGGUACUCGGGAGGAAGGGGUAAAAUCCUUUGAUCUCUUGAUGACCACCUGUGGCGAAGGCGGUCUACCAGAACACGUUCGACGGUGAGGGAUGAAAGCUGGGGGAGCAAGCCGGAUUAGAUACCCGGGUAGUCCCAGCUGUAAACUAUGCAAACUCAGUGAUGCAUUGGCUUAUGGCCAAUGCAGUGCUGCAGGGAAGCCGUUAAGUUUGCCGCCUGGGAAGUACGUACGCAAGUAUGAAACUUAAAGGAAUUGGCGGGGGAGCACCACAA
rnacentral:rRNA from 2 species